UACGGAGGGAGCGAGCGUUAAUCGGAAUUACUGGGAGUAAAGCGUCCGUAGGCGGCUUGUUAAGUCUGAUGUGAAAGCCCUGGGCUUAACCUGGGAACGGCAUUGGAUACUGGCGAGCUAGAGUUCGGUAGAGGGUGGUGGAAUUCCCGGUGUAGCGGUGAAAUGCGUAGAGAUCGGGAGGAACACCGGUGGCGAAGGCGGCCACCUGGCCCGAGACUGACGCUGAGGGACGAAAGCGUGGGGAGCAAACAGG
rnacentral:rRNA from 1 species